GUGGGGAAUUUUGGGCAAUGGGCGCAAGCCUGACCCAGCGACGCCGCGUGGGGGAUGAAGGCCUUCGGGUUGUAAACCCCUGUCAGGUGGGAAGAAGGCUCGACCGGUUAAGAGCUAGUCGAGCUCGACGGUACCGCCAAAGGAAGCCCCGGCUAACUCCGUGCCAGCAGCCGCGGUAAUACGGAGGGGGCAAGCGUUAUUCGGAUUUACUGGGCGUAAAGCGCACGUAGGCGGCAAGAGAAGUCAAAGGUGAAAGCCCUCGGCUCAACCGAGGAAUUGCCUUUGAUACUGCCUUGCUUGAGUCCGGGAUGGGGGAGCGGAAUUCCCAGUGUAGCGGUGAAAUGCGUAGAUACUGGGAGGAACACCGGUGGCGAAGGCGGCUCCCUGGACCGGUACUGACGCUGAGGUGCGAAAGCGUGGGUAGCAAACAGGAUUAGAAACCCGAGUAGUCC
rnacentral:rRNA from 1 species